AAGAGAGAGACAUGCGCGCAUAUCAAUAAGCGGAGGAAAAGAAACUAACUAGGAUUCCCUCAGUAACGGCGAGUGAAGCGGGAAGAGCUCAAAUUUGAAAUCUUCAAGGUUUUACCUUGACGAAUUGUAGUUUAAAGAAGUGUUUUCUGUUGAAGUUUUGGUAAAAGUUCUUUGGAAUAGGACAUCAUAGAGGGUGAGAAUCCCGUAUUUGACCAUUAUUUUCAGCUGUGCGAUACACUUUCAAAGAGUCGGAUUGUUUGGGAAUGCAGUCCAAAAUGGGUGGUAAAUUUCAUCUAAAGCUAAAUAUUGGCGAGAGACCGAUAGCGAACAAGUACCGUGAGGGAAAGAUGAAAAGAACUUUGAAAAGAGAGUUAAACAGUACGUGAAAUUGUCAAAAGGGAAGCGUUUGACACCAGUGUUGUUUUUCUGAAAAUCAAUUAAAGAACUGUUUAUGCUAAGCUGUUUAGACUUUAUCAGCUAUCUGUUUAGUUUUGAGCUUUUCUUUAAUGCACUUUUCAGUUAACAAGUCAACAUCAAUUUCUUUUGCUGUAAAAAAGCUUGAGGAAGGUGGCUUGAGAUUCGUCUUAAGUGUUUAUAGCCUCUUGCCUAUGCAGUCGGAGAGAUUGAGGUCUGCAGCGUAGAUCCUUCGGGGCUAAAUGCAUUUGUGCUAAGUUAUAGCAUUUUAUAGACAACUUGUUGACUAUGAUUUGUCUUGUAGCUUACUCGCUUAUGCUAUUUUACCUACGCUUAGGAUGUUGAUGUGAUACUGCGAGCA
rnacentral:rRNA from 1 species